CAUGCAAGUCGAGCGGUAGAGAGAAGCUUGCUUCUCUUGAGAGCGGCGGACGGGUGAGUAAUGCCUAGGAAUCUGCCUGGUAGUGGGGGAUAACGUCCGGAAACGGACGCUAAUACCGCAUACGUCCUACGGGAGAAAGCAGGGGACCUUCGGGCCUUGCGCUAUCAGAUGAGCCUAGGUCGGAUUAGCUAGUUGGUGGGGUAAUGGCUCACCAAGGCGACGAUCCGUAACUGGUCUGAGAGGAUGAUCAGUCACACUGGAACUGAGACACGGUCCAGACUCCUACGGGAGGCAGCAGUGGGGAAUAUUGGACAAUGGGCGAAAGCCUGAUCCAGCCAUGCCGCGUGUGUGAAGAAGGUCUUCGGAUUGUAAAGCACUUUAAGUUGGGAGGAAGGGCAGUAAAUUAAUACUUUGCUGUUUUGACGUUACCGACAGAAUAAGCACCGGCUAACUCUGUGCCAGCAGCCGCGGUAAUACAGAGGGUGCAAGCGUUAAUCGGAAUUACUGGGCGUAAAGCGCGCGUAGGUGGUUCGUUAAGUUGGAUG
rnacentral:rRNA from 1 species